rnacentral:rRNA from 1 species
UGGGGAAUAUUGCUCAAUGGGCGCAAGCCUGAUGCAGCGACGCCGCGUGAGGGAUGGAGGCCUUCGGGUUGUAAACCUCUUUCGCCAGUGAAGCAGGCCAUCUUCUUUGUGGGGUGGUUGACGGUAGCUGGAUAAGAAGCGCCGGCUAACUACGUGCCAGCAGCCGCGGUAAUACGUAGGGCGCGAGCGUUGUCCGGAAUUAUUGGGCGUAAAGAGCUCGUAGGCGGCUGGUCGCGUCUGUCGUGAAAUCCCCUGGCUUAACUGGGGGCUUGCGGUGGGUACGGGCCGGCUUGAGUGCGGUAGGGGAGACUGGAAUUCCUGGUGUAGCGGUGGAAUGCGCAGAUAUCAGGAGGAACACCGGUGGCGAAGGCGGGUCUCUGGGCCGUUACUGACGCUGAGGAGCGAAAGCGUGGGGAGCGAACAGG